rnacentral:rRNA from 1 species
CCGUGGGAAACUACGGCUAUUACCGCAUGAUACUNAGGGUCAAAGGCGCAAGUCGCCUUAGGAGGAGCCUGCGUCUGAUUAGCUUGUUGUGGGGUAAAGGCCUACCCAAGGGCUCCGAUCGGUAGCUGGUCUGAGAGGAUGAUCAGCCACAUUGGGACUGAGACACGGCCCAAACUCCUACGGGAGGCAGCAGUGGGGGAAUAUUGGACAAUGGGCGCAAGCCUGAUCCAGCAAUGCCGCGUGGGUGAAGAAGGUCUUCGGAUUGUAAAGCCCUUUUGGCGGGGACGAUGAUGACGGUACCCGCAGAAUAAGCUCCGGCUAACUUCGUG